rnacentral:rRNA from 1 species
AUUGAACGCUGGCGGCAUGCCUUACACAUGCAAGUCGAACGGCAGCACGGAGCUUGCUCUGGUGGCGAGUGGCGAACGGGUGAGUAAUAUACCGGAACGUACCCAAGAGUGGGGGAUAACGUAGCGAAAGUUACGCUAAUACCGCAUACGAUCUAAGGAUGAAAGCAGGGGACCGCAAGGCCUUGUGCUCCUGGAGCGGCCGAUAUCUGAUUAGCUAGUUGGUGAGGUAAAGGCUCACCAAGGCAUCGAUCAGUAGCUGGUCUGAGAGGACGACCAGCCACACUGGAACUGAGACACGGUCCAGACUCCUACGGGAGGCAGCAGUGGGGAAUUUUGGACAAUGGGGGCAACCCUGAUCCAGCAAUGCCGCGUGAGUGAAGAAGGCCUUCGGGUUGUAAAGCUCUUUUGUCAGGGAAGAAACGGUCGUGGCUAAUAUCCAUGGCUAAUGACGGUACCUGAAGAAUAAGCACCGGCUAACUACGUGCCAGCAGCCGCAGUAA